rnacentral:rRNA from 1 species
GCUAGUUGUAUUGACUAUUAGUUAAUGCAAGAUCGACUAUGUCGACUAAAGUUCUAGGUAGAAUAAUGAUGAUGACAAUUUUCUACCUAUAUGUCUUGACCAAAUCUCGUGCCAGCAGUCGCGGUAAUACGUGGAAGACUAGUGUUAUUCAUCUUUAAUAGGUUUAAAGGGUACCUAGACGGUAUUUUUAGCCCAAAACAGGGUACGGAUUUACUAGAGUUUUAUGUGAGGAGGGGAGUACUCGUAGAGUAGAGAUGAAAUUUUUUGAUACUAUGAGGAAACUGGUGGCGGCGAAAGCAACCUUCUAUGUAUAAACUGACGUUGAGGGACGAAGGCUUGGGUAGCAAAUAGGAUUAGAUACCCUAGUAGUCCAAGCAGACAAUUCUGAAUGCCAUAGAUUAGAUUAUUUUUGGUCUAUAAAUGAAAGUGUAAGCAUUCCACCUUAGGAGUAAUGUGGCAACACAGGAACUGAAAUCAUUAGACCGUUUCUGAAACCAGUAGUGAAGUAUGUUAUUUAAUUUGAUAGUCCUCAAAAAACCUUACCACAACUUGAAUGUUAUUAAAUUAAUACAAGCGUUGCACGGCUGUCUUCAGUUAAUGUCGUGAGAUUUUGGUUAACUCCAUUAAUUAACGCAAACCCUUACUUUAUU